GUGCCAGCCGCCGCAGUAAUACCGGCAGCCCGAGUGAUGGCCGAUCUUAUUGGGCCUAAAGCGUCCGUAGCUGGCUGCACAAGUCCGUCGGGAAAUCCACUCGCCCAACGAGUGGGCGUCCGACGGAAACUGCACAGCUUGGGACCGGAAGGCUCGAAGGGUACGUUCGGGGUAGGAGUGAAAUCCUGUAAUCCUGAACGGACCACCGGUGGCGAAAGCGCCUCGAGAGGACGGACCCGACGGUGAGGGACGAAAGCUAGGGUCUCGAACCGGAUUAGAAACCCCAGUAGUCC
rnacentral:rRNA from 1 species